GCGAGGAUGGUGGAAUAGGCAGACACGCAGGUUUGAGGGACCUGUCGCUCUUAUACAGCGGUGAGGGUUCGAAUCCCUUUCCUCGCA
rnacentral:tRNA from 1 species